rnacentral:tRNA from 1 species
UAUAUUUUAGUAUGGAUUGUACGAAAGUUUUUGAUACUUUAAGGAGAAGGUGAGCCCUUCUAGAUAUGU